AACGCAUCUUGCGCUCCUUGGUACUCCGAGGAGCAUGCCUGUUUGAGUGUCAUUAAAUUCUCAACCCUCUUAUACUUUGUUGUAAAGGAGGGCUUGGAUUGUGGAGGUUUGCUGGCAACUUGUUGGGGUCAGCUCCUCUGAAAUGCAUUAGCGGAACCGUUUGCGAUCUGCCACAAGUGUGAUAAACUAUCUACACUGGCGAGGGGAUUGCUCUGUGUUGUUCAGCUUCUAAUCGUCUCAGUUUUACGAGACAACUUUUUGAAUACUUGACCUCAAAUCAGGUAGGACUACCCGCUGAACUUAA
rnacentral:misc_RNA from 1 species